GAGAUGGGUAUACCCAAAAUACUUUACGGAAAUCAGGGGUAAUAGCAGAAACUGAUUCAAAAACCAUUAAUAUCAAAAACCCAGAUGCCUUUUGAGCUAUAAUUAACAGUUGUUGAACUUGAAGUAUACAAUGAACUACCAAUAAACAUGAAUCCAAACCCAAAACCCAAUUCGCUCAAAGCUUUAUCUUUUUCAAAGAGAACCGAAAACAACAUUACAAGC
rnacentral:misc_RNA from 1 species